rnacentral:misc_RNA from 1 species
AAGUCGUAACAAGGUUUCCGUAGGUGAACCUGCGGAAGGAUCAUUAAAUAAUCAAUAAUUUUGGCUUGUCCAUUAUUAUCUAUUUACUGUGAACUGUAUUAUUACUUGACGCUUGAGGGAUGCUCCACUGCUAUAAGGAUAGGCGGUGGGGAUGUUAACCGAGUCAUAGUCAAGCUUAGGCUUGGUAUCCUAUUAUUAUUUACCAAAAGAAUUCAGAAUUAAUAUUGUAACAUAGACCUAAAAAAUCUAUAAAACAACUUUUAACAACGGAUCUCUUGGUUCUC